rnacentral:sRNA from 1 species
GUGUGAUGGAAGCACACAAGACUUGCUAAGGAGAGGGAACUGGCGACCCGAAGGCUGCGGCUUCCUAGCCACAUGUCAUGCUGCCCAAGGACAUAGCCAAGCUGGUCCCUAAAACCCAUCUGAUGUCUGAAUCUGAAUGGAGGAAUCUUGGCGUUCAGCAGAGUCAGGGAUGGGUCCAUUAUAUGAUCCAUGAACCAGAACCUCACAUCUUGCUGUUCCGGCGCCCACUACCCAAGAAACCAAAGAAAUGAAGCUGGCAAGCUACUUUUCAGCCUCAAGCUUUACACAGCUGUCCUUACUUCCUAACAUCUUUCUGAUAACAUUAUUAUGUUGCCUUCUUGUUUCUCACUUUGAUAUUUAAAAGAUGUUCAAUACACUGUUUGAAUGUGC